AGCGAACGCUGGCGGCAGGCUUAACACAUGCAAGUCGAGCGGGCAUCCUUGUGGUGUCAGCGGCAGACGGGUGAGUAACGCGUGGGAACGUGCCCUUCGGUUCGGAAUAACUCAGGGAAACUUGAGCUAAUACCGGAUACGUGCGAGAGCAGAAAGGUUUAUCUGCCGAAGGAUCGGCCCGCGUCUGAUUAGCUAGUUGGUGAGGUUAUGGCUCACCAAGGCGACGAUCAGUAGCUGGUCUGAGAGGAUGAUCAGCCACACUGGGACUGAGACACGGCCCAGACUCCUACGGGAGGCAGCAGUGGGGAAUAUUGGACAAUGGGGGCAACCCUGAUCCAGCCAUGCCGCGUGAGUGAUGACGGCCUUAGGGUUGUAAAGCUCUUUUCUCCGGGACGAUAAUGACGGUACCGAAGGAAUAAGCCCCGGCUAACUUCGUG
rnacentral:rRNA from 1 species